ACAGGAUAGGAUAGAACAAGUUCCUGUUUGAUUUGUCUGAGCUCUCAAAUUUGUUAUAGGUUCCCUUCUUGGCUGGUUUCUUCCUAGAAUUGUGUCCUAAAUAAUCCGACAACAGAUAGAAGCGGAUCCAGUUAUGGAAGCCAGUGACCUUGCCCUUUUUGAUUUCACCUAUAAAACAGAGCACAAGCAGGGUGCCCCACCUGAGAAGACAUGUUCAAAGCCACUGGAGUCCGCCUCCUCAUUGCCUCUUGAAUAGAGCCCAAACCACAUAUUCUUCAAGUCGUCAACGAAUUCUUGUUCAGAGACAUAGCGGUCUGCAGAGAGGAACACAGAGGACGUUGGAGAGGGGAAGAGAGGUCGGGUCCUGGGAAACAGAAAAGGGCCACCUGCUUCAGGACAUCAAGAGAGACAUGGGGGCGCUGGGGUUGUGGCUUGGCAGUAGAGUGCUUGCCUAGCAUGUGUGAAGCACUGGGUUCAAUCCUCAGCACCACAUAAAAAUAAAUAAAAUAAAGGUAUUGUGUCCAUCUACAACUGAAAAUAUUAAA